GCAAGUCGAACGGUGAAGCGGUUGCUUGCACUCGUGGAUCAGUGGCGAACGGGUGAUUAACACGUGAGUAACCUGCCCUCCACUCUGGGAUAAGCGCUGGAGACGGCGUCUAAUACUGGAUACGACCGACCCUCGCAUGGGGUGUUGGUGGAAAGAUUUAUCGGUGGUGGAUGGACUCGCGGCCUAUCAGCUUGUUGGUGGGGUAAUGGCCUACCAAGGCGACGACGGGUAGCCGGUCUGAGAGGGCGACC
rnacentral:rRNA from 1 species